rnacentral:lncRNA from 1 species
CUGUGAACGAGAGGGAGCCGAGGGCUUCGUCUUCCCAGCAACAGGCGCUCGUGCCUCAGAGGCACGACAGAUUCCUAGGCGCUGCUUGAGUGUGACGUGUUUCCCAACUGCCACUACCCUCUUCAAAGUACUGACCUUGCAUAGUUUAAGCUAUUGUAUUCUUACCGCAUUAUCGGUUCGUCAUCUUUAUCGAUUCAUUUCCUUGCAUGCUUUCUACAGGCUGCCUCUGCAAGCCUCAGGAGGACAGUGCUCCUAAACUUGCCUGCACUUUACAUCACAUGGGGAUCUUCUAAAAAUUCCAAGCCCAGAGCAUACCCCAGGCCAAUUAAAUCACAAUUCCCUAGCGGUGGGAAACAGGUAUCAGUAGUUUUGGAAACUCUCCAGGUGAUUCCAAUGUGCAGAAAAGUUUGGGAACCACUGCCCUAAGGCCUUGCUGCUCAAAGUGUGGACUGUGGACCAGCAGCAUCACUAGAAAUCAGAACCUCUAACUACUUGAAUCAGAGAUCUCUGGGUGAUUUGACACACAUUAAGAUUUGGGAAGCACUGUUUAGAGGCCUGAAUGGAUAUGGGUAUCUUGAUUUAUGAGGACCACGUGUUUAAAGGAUGUCCUUGGAUGAGGAUAACAACGACAGGAUGGAUUGUGUGACCUUCCACCAGAUUAUCUAAAAGAACUAAAUCCUCCAAUGACUUGAACAGAAAGUCAAGCGCUGCGUGUUUUCUGCAACUUUGAGGAAAGAAGAACUCAAAAGAAAGCUGAGGAAAUCCACUAGAUCAUUGAUUCUCCAAGUGCGGUCCACGGAUCCCUGGGCACUUUCGGGGGGUCCUUCAGGUUUUCCCUUUCCAACUGCACUUCUGUGGGAGGCCCGGCUUUUGUAAAUGUGUCAGCCCAACCAACAGACUACGACACAUUGAAGCAGAUGUGAGAACCCAGCUGUUAAAGAGAUUUGCCAACUAGAAAGCAAGACGUUAAAGAGAUGGCAAAAAUGGAAAAGCACUGCAACUCUUUUCACUAAGUGUUUGGCUGUUUCAGAAAAUAUAAUUAUUUUUGAUAAAAAUAUUUAUAUUAACACGUAAAGGAUUUAUUACUGUUAUUUCCAAGUGAAUUAAUAUCUUUUAAGUUCCUUGGUUUUUGUUUCUAAUCCAGUAAAUAUGGGUAAGUAUAACCCACAUAAACAAAAGCUCUUUGGGGUCCUCAAUGACUUUUAGGAAUGUAAAGAGGUCCUGAGAUCAAAAAGUUUCAGAGCUGCUGCACUAGAAAGACGUGAAAACAUUUCACUGUAAACAUGGCUCAUUGCUCUAACCUUCUUUUUGAAGACUGGGGGCUAACUUGAACCUUUGGAUAACAACAGGGAUUUUCCUCAAACUGCUUGUGAGGCCCUCCAAGGCCUAAACCUUAAAUUAGCCUUUGAUCAAAGACACGUGAUGUACAAAGAAUGAAGAAUUGUAGAAAUCCAUCGAGCCCAGGAAAAUGGCAAGGAGGCAAGAUAAGUCAUUUACCAAAGAGGAUGAAUCUCCAGAGAUCCAUCCAAAUUGUGUGCAUCAGUUGUUGGUUCUUUUUCGUUGCUGAAUAGUAUUCCAAGGUAUAGAUGUACCACAGUUUGUUUCACUAUUCACUUAUUGAAGGACAAUCUAAGUUGGUUG